rnacentral:rRNA from 1 species
UUGAUCCUGCCGGACCUUACUGCUAUCGGGGUGGGACUUAGACAUGCGAGUUGAACGUUUCACAGCCAUGAGUGAAACGUAGCAUACGGCUCAGUAACACGUGGCUAACCCACCCUCGGGACAGGGACAACCCCGGGAAACUGGGGCUAAUCCCCGAUAGGCGAAGGCUCCUGGAACGGGUCUUCACCCAAAAGGUGCUAGAAUCAUGCUUUCUAGCCUCGCCCGAGGACGGGGCCGCGUCCGAUCAGGUAGUUGGUGAGGCAACGGCUCACCAAGCCUAUAACCGGUACGGGCCGUGGGAGCGGGAGCCCGGAGAUGGGCACUGAGACAAGGGCCCAGGCCCUACGGGGCGCAGCAGUUACGAAAACUUGUCAAUGCACGAAAGUGUGAACGGGCUACCCCGAGUGCCGUCCGCUGAGGAUGGCUUUUCUCUGCUGUAAGAAGGCGGAGGAAUAAGGAGAGGGCAAGUCUGGUGUCAGCCGCCGCGGUAAUACCAGCUCUCCGAGUGGUAAGGAUGAUUAUUGGGCUUAAAGCGUCCGUAGCUGGCCUUCCAAGUCUCUCGUUAAAUCCAGCGAUUCAAUCGUUGGACUGCGGGAGAUACUGUCAGGCUAGAGAACGGGAGAGGUCGACGGUACUCUCAGGGUAGGAGUGAAAUCCUAUAAUCCUGGGAGGACCACCAGUGGCGUAGGCUGUCGGCUAGAACGUGUCUGACGGUGAGGGACGAAAGCUUGGGGAGCGAACCGGAUUAGAUACCCGGGUAGUCCAAGCUGUAAACUAUGCGGGCUAGGUGUUGACGUGGCUACGUGCCACUUCAGUGCCGCAGGGAAGCCGUUAAGCCCGCCGCCUGGGGAGUACGGUCGCAAGGCUGAAACUUAAAGGAAUUGGCGGGGGAGCACCACAAGGGGUGAAGCUUGCGGUUUAAUUGGAUUCAACGCCGG